GGUCGCGUAGCUCAGUUGGUAGAGCACUACCUUGACAUGGUAGUGGCCGCUGGUUCAAGUCCAGUCGUGGCCACCAU
rnacentral:tRNA from 2 species